UUUAAUACAAUGAUUGAGACUAAUCUAUUUAAAUUAUAAGCAGAGAGUAAACGGUUGGUGUAAGUUUACAUGAUUUAAUAGAGUUCCACUCAGGAGUAGUCGAUGAAGAAUCGAACGGGGUACCCGUUAUAGUACACAGAGCUGGCUUUAUGCAAUUUGGGUGGUACCGCGAUUGACUUCGUCCCAUGG
rnacentral:ncRNA from 1 species